rnacentral:rRNA from 1 species
UACGUAGGGUGCAAACGUUAAUCGGAAUUACUGGGCGUAAAGCGUGCGCAGGCGGCUUUGCAAGACAGAUGUGAAAUCCCCGGGCUUAACCUGGGAACUGCAUUUGUGACUGCAUGGCUGGAGUGCGGCAGAGGGGGAUGGAAUUCCGCGUGUAGCAGUGAAAUGCGUAGAUAUGCGGAGGAACACCGAUGGCGAAGGCAAUCCCCUGGGCCUGUACUGACGCUCAUGCACGAAAGCGUGGGGAGCAAACAGG